AUCUAGCUGACGAGUUCAAAGUAAAACAAAAUGCGCAUCCUUGAU
rnacentral:hammerhead_ribozyme from 1 species